AUGUUGGCAUUAUCUAUAAAUUUUGUUAGCUAGAACUUUAUUUUACCAAAUUGUUUCAUUUUUAUGGAUAUUUCUGCAUCUAAGAUUCUUAUUACUAGGAAAUUUGCACUAAUCUAAAAUCAUACUUUUAGUACUAUUUAUAGAUUAUUGUUGCUUCAAGACCUCCCAAUGAAAUGCAUUAUUGUUUUAUGAUAAGCCUCUUGGUUAGGAGACUUGAUGCGAUCUUCCAAUGCAAAUGUCCAAUAUGACCCAAACUCGGGUUGGGUAAGUCGGGUUCAGUUUUAUGAGAUCUACUUUGGUUCAUGAAGUAUGGAUUAUUUGCAAAAUAUUUCAUUAUUUUUGUAGAACACUUUCGGACAAAUGAUUCUUUUUGUAUGCAAUGCGUGGGCCAAAUAAAAUCCUCUUUUAAAUUGAAUGUGAAUUUAAGAAGGUUACAAAAGAUCUGCUCAUACUAUAAAAUUAUGAGUUUGACCCUUGACUCAUGACUUUUUUUACUUUUUAAACAGUUGCCCACGUAGUUGAGUUGGGUUCCUACUGAGUUGGCCUAUUUUAAUGGAUGGUUCCAGUCAAUAACUGGCUUGACUGUCUGGUUCUUACAGGUUUUAAAAGAAUGAUCACUGAAUAUCUCAAAGUUAUUUCAUAUUGGAAUGUGGUAUAGUUUUCUUUGGUUAGGGAAUCAAUUUGAACUAUCUGACUUGGAUUUGGCUUUGUUUUAGCACAAUGGAUGUGUUGUUCACCAAACUAAUUCUUGUGUUUGAUUGGACCAGAUUUUUUUCAAAGUUCAACUACCUUUUGGUUCGUAUGUACUGUAGCUACAAAAUUCAUAGCUGAAAGUUAUGAUUGGUUCUUCUUCAAUUCGUUAAUGAAAACAUGAGGGGACCCCAAAUCGAACAAGCCAAUCCGGAAACCACAUCUCUGGCUCUAACUUCCCUCCCACAACAACCAAUUCAACCAGCAGCUAACAAAGAAAAACGACAUUUGUUUCUUAGCCUGGAAACUAUGACUUCUUAUAUGCAGAGGUCAUUGGUCUAAUUUAGUUUACUUUUUCUCUGCUAUUCACAUCAAAUAUAAAGAGAUGCUUCAUUUUCGUUUACUUCACCCAAUUUCAUAUUCGGACAUAAUGAAUGCUCUCAAUUGGACACUUACAGCUAACACUGUUUAACCACUGUUAACUGAACUUCAUAAUGAAUCUCCUGCAGGUGCGUCAAAUCGACAGAAUGCCAAGAUUAGUGUCCUCCAUGCAGCCCUGUCUUUCGAAGCCCCCAAAUUACUUAAAUCUUGUGAUGUGCAAAACAACAUAAACCCAUUGUAAUCUUCCUUUGUGCAGGUUCUGGACCAUGGUGAGAAGAUUGAGCUUUUGGUAGACAAAACAGAGAACCUCCGCUCACAGCUUACCAAAGAUCGACAGAAGAAACCAGUCCCUUGGAAACAAUGGCAAUCAUUGGCAACAAGGAGAUCAUUGACAUUAACCAAGGUAUGUUAGCUGCUUAGACUGGUGUAAAAAAUAAAAAUAAAAAUAAAAAUAAAAAAC